ACGAACGCUGGCGGCGUGCUUAACACAUGCAAGUCGAACGGAAAGGCCCUGCUUUUGUGGGGUGCUCGAGUGGCGAACGGGGGAGUAACACGUGAGUAACCUGCCCUUGACUUUGGGAUAACUUCAGGAAACUGGGGCUAAUACCGGAUAGGAGCUCCUGCUGCAUGGUGGGGGAUGGAAAGUUUCGGCGGUUGGGGAUGGACUCGCGGCUUAUCAGCUUGUUGGUGGGGGAGUGGCUUACCAAGGCUUUGACGGGUAGCCGGCCUGAGAGGGUGACCGGCCACAUUGGGACUGCGAUACGGCCCAGACUCCUACGGGCGGCAGCAGUGGGGAAUAUUGCACAAUGGGCGGAAGCCUGAUGCAGCAACGCCGCGUGCGGGAUGACGGCCUUCGGGUUGUAAACCGCUUUCGCCUGUGACGAAGCGUGAGUGACGGUAAUGGGUAAAGAAGCACCGGCUAACUACGUG
rnacentral:rRNA from 1 species